CAAUGUAAAGGCCGUGCUCAGCUGUGUCCUUUUAACGCGGUAGAACUGAGCAGAAAGACCCCUGGAUUUCAAGACUUUUGGCAAGCAGUUGAAGAGAAGCUGUCACUGUCACUGGCAUUUGGUCCUUGAGGUGUCAGGUCUGGCUCAGGAAUCUUCCGAGGCACUUCACCUCCGCAGGACUCCAGAGGGAGUCCCUGAAAUGAGCAGCAGGGUGUGUGAUGCAAGACCUGCAUGGAUUUCUCUUUUGAGGCAGCUACAGAUCAGCAACCCAUUAGGAGCCUCUUAAAGUGUGUGUGGCGGGGGGGAGGCAGAAUAAAGCGGUACAUAAGAAAUAUAUCCUCUUAUAUAGGAUAUAGUUAUAGUAUAUCCUCUACAUCCUUUCUGUGCUGUUAAGCUAAUACUUUUUUCUUUGAUUGACUCUAGGUCAGCACAAGACACAUUAUGAACUGUUUGGAAGCAUCUCCAGAGUCCAUGAUGUGCUUAGAAGCUUUGGGAUAAGGCUAGGAUAGAACUGGUUAAGGUGCAGGCUCCAGGAGCUCUGGGUUCCUUUCGACAUCAGAAACGGUCAGAAAAAGAAACAGAACAGUUUUAAAACAUAUAGAAACAAAAUCUGCUUUUCCACCCAAACCAAGAUUCCUAUUAGUAAUGUUAGAAUCUUGAAUGUGUCAUCUACAGAACCACCUCACUGCGUGACCACAGCCAGGCACACAACUCAGCAACGCAGGGCAAGCAGCAUCUGGGUAAGCUUUCUUCACCAGAGGUGAGCUCACAGCCAGGUGUGUCCCUCAAUGAAAAAGCUUCUACUUGCCCAGGGGGAACACUCCUGAAGCCCUAACUCUGGCAAAGUUGCACUGAAACAGGUAGGAAUUCUGCCUAUGUGGAGACCUUAUGACGUAUCCAAGAUUUCAAAAGCAACUCCAGCACUAGUAGGCACAAAAAGGAAACCGGAGGGCAUUUAAAGGAAGGGCCUAAAUACCAUUACCAUUGCAGAAUGGAUAAUGAUUGUUAAUCUACUUCAUUUUUUAAGCCCCUCUGUCAAGUCUCCUCCCAUGCUGCACACUGUGACUACCAUGGGCAGCAAGAGGCCGGCGGGAGAGCUGCCAGCUGGUCUGUGCCAGGGCUUUAUCAGUCAGACAAAGCGCUGUGAGUAACCUUAGAAACUUCUUCAUUAGUGACUGUGCCCACAUCUCUGCUGAUUCCUGCUGAAACAACGUGCCUGAGAGGACAGCAGGAGAGAGCCUGGAGUGGUAAGAGUGUAGGCACAUGUGCCUUGCUGAAUUAUGACAGCUUUGUCAGGAAGCUGAGGGAAGGCAGAAGGGGGAAUCAGAAUUGGAAGAGAAAAUGUUAGAGGUCCUCAAUGUGCAUGAGGUGCCCGCAGGAGCAGGGCACAGGGGUUUAAAUGAAAAGCAGCAAAGGCGAAGAGCUUGGAUGGGGAAUGGGUCUAUCUGGAAUAACUUCAGUAUUAUGAGUUUACAUCAAAGUAAGAAGUGGGUCAGCAGAAACGUUGCGACACAUCCAUUUGUAAUCAGGAAAUCAAAACUGAAAGAUUAACUUUAGCUGCUCCAGGGCUCUGGUCAGAGAAGCGGCUGCUGCAGGCUGGCAGCUGACGGACACUUGUCUGUAACCCAGAGCAGAGGAGGCCAGGGCUGCAGGAGCUGUUCGGAAGGCAGAAAGCGUGACUCGCUAAGAUGUCUGGUCACGUCUCGCCUACCAAGCACAGAAACCGAAAAUGCAGCGUUUGUACAGACGAGUGUUUGCACAGGCUGCUGUGAAGUACUCCUGGGUCAUCGGGGAUGAACAUCGGUUAUCGGUCUGUCCCAGGUAGAAGGGAAAACCUGAAGGCAGUGGCAGGCUGUUCUGCUGCAGACUUAGUUUAACUCACCUGCCCAGAGCACCCAAGACCACCGCGCCUGAGAAGCAAAGUUCACCCUCACCUCGGCUGCCAUGUCGGAUGGGAUUUGGCUCCUGUGUGCAGCGAUUCCGGCAACAGUGCAACCUGUGGAACAGCAAGGGGAGUUUGUCCAGGCCUUGUGUUACUCGGCAUUGGCUACAAGGAACAACGCUGAGCAGUUGCUGCUGGAAGGGAGAGAAAAUCUAUUUAGUGGCGGCCUUUAAAGCAGGCUCACCCGUCCGAACACACGACCAGCUUUGCUGCGGAUCAGUUCCAGACUAUCAGGAUUCUUCUUCUGAGGCAUCACACUACUGCCAGUGCUGAAAGAAAGGUGUUUGGGCUGUAACGAUCUUACAGGUAGUCCUGUGCCUCUCACUCACAGGGAGACACUUACCACUACGCAGAAGCUCUCUAUCGAUUUCCACUGGGUUGCCAGCCAGAGCACCACUGCAGGGGAGAAAGAAACUGGAGUCAUGCAAGAUACCCUGCACAUCCCAAUCACACCUGAGCUCUAGGAAGCAGGGAAGGUGAUUCUGAAGAUUCUGCAGAGCAAAGCAAGGCCCGGCGCUCAGAAUCGCGGGUGAGAGCAACAGCAUGGCUAGGGAAGGACAGGAGAAGUCAAGCCAUUGGAAAAUGUCACUUUUCUUUCCAAGUGGUAAGCUGCCAUGCCUGGAGUGUGGAAUCCCCUCUGGAACAGAGGAGGCUGGAAAUGCAGCCUGGGCACUCAGACCCUUUGAAGUGGAACAAUCAGCAGCCAUACAAGCUUUCUCAUGUUACCCUGCUAGCUAAGGUGUAACCGUGGCCAAAGGGUGGAGCAUAGAUGGAGUCAGCCUCCACUGCCUCCACCAUCCAGUCAGUGCUUGGGUCACAGGUUGGUCAGAGCCACACAGAGCCACUGGGAGUUCCUCUUCCAGUUGGCAAGGUCAGCUCUAGAUUGUCACCACCCCCAGCUGCCCCCACAGAGGAAAAUGCACUCCAGGGUUGCAGCUAAGCAGAGCCCUGAGGUUGGAGAAGGCUUCUCCCAGCUGAGUGAGAAAGAG